rnacentral:rRNA from 1 species
GAAUCUGUCCGUUGGUCGGGCCACUGGUAUGCACUGGCCUCACUGGUUCCUCCUUCCUGAUGAACCGUAAUGCCACUAAUUUGGUGUUGCGGGGAAACUGGACUGUUACUUUGAAAAAAUUAGAGUGUUUAAAGCAGGCUAACGCUUGAAUACAUUAGCAUGGAAUAAUGAAAUAGGACGCUCGAUCCUAUUUUGUUGGUUUCUAAGAUUGACGUAAUGA